rnacentral:lncRNA from 1 species
UCGAGACACAAUCACACACACACACACACACACACACACACACACACACACACACACACACACACACACACACACACACCACACGACACACACACACACCCUGUCAUGUGCAGCUGACCUUUAAGAGGUGCCAGACUCAGCCACUCUGAGAAGACUUCUGCCGCCUUUGGAACCUACUGGGUAGAGAAUGAAUACACUCCAUGAUCUAAUAUCAAAGGAACAGGGAAAUUAACAAGGGAAGAUAGGAGGAGGAGUAGCAGGAGGAGUAUGCAGGAGGACUAUGCAGGAGGACUAUGCAGCAGGAGGAGCAGCAGGACUAUGCAGGAGGAGUAGAAGGAGGAAUAUGCAGGAGGAUUAUCAGAAGGUCUGUGCAGGAGGACUAUGCAGGAGGAAUAGCAGGAGGAGAAGGAGGAGGAGUAGCAUGAGGGUAGCAGGAGGAGAAGCAGCAGGAGGCGUAGCAGGAGGGGUAGCAGGAGGGGUAUGCAGGAGGAGUAGCAGGAGGAGUAUGCAGUAGGGGUAGCAGGAGGAGUAGCAGGAGGAGUAUGCAGGAGGAGUAGUAGGAGAAGUAGCAGGAGGAGUAGCAGGAGGAGUAUGCAGGAGGAGUAGCAGGAGGAGUAGCAGGAGGAGGAGCAGGAGGAGCAGGAUGAGAAGCAGGAGGAGUAGCAGGAGGACUAUGCAGGAGGGG